GUGCCAGCAGCCGCGGUAAUACGGAAGGUCCAGGCGUUAUCCGGAUUUAUUGGGUUUAAAGGGAGCGCAGGCUGAUGAUUAAGCGUGACGUGAAAUGUAGCCGCUCAACGGCUGAACUGCGUCGCGAACUGGUUAUCUUGAGUGAGUUCGAUGUUGGCGGAAUUCGUGGUGUAGCGGUGAAAUGCUUAGAUAUCACGAAGAACUCCGAUUGCGAAGGCAGCCAACAAGGCCUUUACUGACGCUAAAGCUCGAAGGUGCGGGUAUCGAACAGGAUUAGAUACCCUGGUAGUCCGCACGGUAAACGAUGGAUGCCCGCUGUUUGCGAUAUACUGUGAGCGGCCAAGAGAAAUCGUUAAGCAUCCCACCUGGGGAGUACGCCGGCAACGGUGAAACUCAAAGGAAUUGACGGGGGCCCGCACAAGCGGAGGAACAUGUGGUUUAAUUCGAUGAUACGCGAGGAACCUUACCCGGGCUUGAACUGCCAGCGAACGAUUCAGAGAUGAUGAGGCCCUUCGGGGCGCUGGUGGAGGUGCUGCAUGGUUGUCGUCAGCUCGUGCCGUGAGGUGUCGGCUUAAGUGCCAUAACGAGCGCAACCCUUUUCUUUAGUUGCCAUCAGGUAAUGCUGGGCACUCUGGAGAUACUGCCACCGUAAGGUGUGAGGAAGGUGGGGAUGACGUCAAAUCAGCACGGCCCUUACGUCCGGGGCUACACACGUGUUACAAUGGGAGGUACAGAGAGUCGGAUAUACGUAAGUAUGUUCUAAUCCUUAAAGCCUUCCUCAGUUCGGAUUGGGUCUGCAACCCGACCCCAUGAAGCUGGAUUCGCUAGUAAUCGCGCAUCAGCCAUGGCGCGGUGAAUACGUUCCCGGGCCUUGUACACACCGCCCGU
rnacentral:rRNA from 1 species